AGAGUUUGAUCCUGGCUCAGGACGAACGCUGGCGGCGUGCCUAACACAUGCAAGUCGAGCGGAGAUAUUAGCAAUAAUAUCUUAGCGGCGGACGGGUGAGUAACGCGUGGGCAACCUGCCUUUCACUGGGGGAUAACACAGGGAAACUUGUGCUAAUACCGCAUAACAUCACGAGAGGACAUCCUCUUGUGAUCAAAGGAGCAAUCCGGUGAUAGAUGGGCCCGCGUCCGAUUAGCUAGUUGGCGGUGUAACGGACCACCAAGGCGACGAUCGGUAGCCGAGCUGAGAGGUUGGCCGGCCACACUGGGACUGAGACACGGCCCAGACACCUACGGGUGGCAGCAGUAGGGAAUCUUGGACAAUGGGCGCAAGCCUGAUCCAGCCAUGCCGCGUGGGCGAUGAAGGUCUUCGGAUCGUAAAGCCCUUUUCUCGGGGAAGAACCGCCUCUGGAGGAAAUGCCAGAGGUCUGACGGUACCCGAGGAAUAAGCAACGGCUAACUCCGUGCCAGCAGCCGCGGUAAUACGGAGGUUGCAAGCGUUGUUCGGAAUGACUGGGCGUAAAGGGAGCGCAGGCGGCUUGUUAAGUCUGGAGUGAAAGCCCGGGGCUCAACCCCGGCGGGUCUUCGGAUACUGGCAAGCUAGAGUACGGAAGAGGAAAGCGGAAUUCCAGGUGUAGCGGUGAAAUGCGUAGAUAUCUGGAGGAACACCGGUGGCGAAAGCGGCUUUCUGGUCCGAUACUGACGCUCAGGCUCGAAAGCGUGGGGAGCAAACGGGAUUAGAUACCCCGGUAGUCCACGCCGUAAACGUUGUGCGCUAGGUGUAGGAGGUAUCGACCCCUCCUGUGCCGCAGUUAACACAAUAAGUACCCCGCCUGGGGAGUACGGCCGCAAGGUUGAAACUCAAAGGAAUUGACGGGGGCCCGCACAAGCGGUGGAGCAUGUGGUUUAAUUCGAAGCAACGCGAAGAACCUUACCAGGUCUUGACAUCCCUCUGCAAGGUACAGAGAUGUAUCCCUUCUUCGGAACAGAGGAGACAGGUGGUGCAUGGCUGUCGUCAGCUCGUGUCGUGAGAUGUUGGGUUAAGUCCCAUAACGAGCGCAACCCUUACUGUUAGUUGCCAGCGGGUAGAGCCGGGAACUCUAACGGGACUGCCACCGUAAGGUGAGAGGAAGGUGGGGAUGACGUCAAAUCAGCACGGCCCUUAUGUCCAGGGCUACACACGUGUUACAAUGGCCGGUACAAAGGGCAGCUACACCGCGAGGUGAUGCUAAUCUCGAAAGCCGGUCUCAGUUCGGAUCGAAGUCUGCAACCCGACUUCGUGAAGUUGGAUUCGCUAGUAAUCGCGCAUCAGCCAUGGCGCGGUGAAUACGUUCCCGGGCCUUGUACACACCGCCCGUCAAGCCAUGGGAGCCGGGGGUACCUGAAGUCUGCAACCGCAAGGAGCGGCCUAGGGUAAAACUGGUGACUGGGGCUAAGUCGUAACAAGGUAACC
rnacentral:rRNA from 1 species